CAUGGCUCCCUGAAUGUAACAUAUAGGGAGUCGGACCUGCCCAGUGAAACAUUUUAAACGGCCGCGGUACUCUGACCGUGCAAAGGUAGCAUAAUCAUUUGCCCUAUAAUUGAGGGCUAGUAUGAAUGGUUUGACAAGAAUAAAGCUGUCUCUAUGUAAUUACACAGAAUUUUAUUUUUAGGUGAAGAAGCCUAAAUUGUAUUAAAAGACAAGAAGACCCUAUCGAGCUUUAAAGAAAUUGAUAAAGUAUAAUAAAUAUUAAUUAAAAUAAAUUUUAUUGAAAAUUUUGGUUGGGGCGACAAAGGAACAGACAAAGCUUCUUCUAUGAUAACAAAACCUACAAGUAUUGAUCCAAAAACUUUUGAUUAAAGAAAUUAGUUACCGUAGGGAUAACAGCAUUAUCUUUUUUGAGAGCUCAUAUCGAAAAAAAGGUUUGUGACCUCGAUGUUGGACCAGGAUAUCCGGAAGAUGCAGAAGUCUUCAAAGGUUGGUCUGUUCGACCAUUAAAAUCCUACGUGAUCUGAGUUCAGACCGGCGUGAGCCAGGUCAGUUUCUAUCUUUUAUUGCUAAGGUAAGUUUAGUACGAAAGGACCAACUUACAAUAUUUAAUAUAUAGAUUUGUAGAUUAAGUAUAAUAUAAAAAUAAAUAUAAUUAAU
rnacentral:rRNA from 1 species